rnacentral:tRNA from 1 species
GGAAGGGGAACGGGCCCGGUGGCCCGGCCGGUCUUCAAAACCGCGACGUCCCGCCGCGAAGCGGGAUGGAGGGUUCGACUCCCUCCCUCUUCCGCCA